UGAUGAAACUCUGGAAAGGCCGCUAAGUCGGAACCGAAGGAGAAAGGCUUUUUGCCAAAACUUUCAGGUAAAAAUACAGAGGUUAUGAA
rnacentral:ncRNA from 1 species